rnacentral:rRNA from 1 species
GUAUAGCAAUAGCUACUUGCAUCAUUGUAAAUAUGAUGCAAGAUCGACUAUGUCGAAUAAAAUUCUAGGUAGAAUUAUGAUAAUGACAUUGUCUGCCUAUGUGUCUUGACCAAAUUACGUGCCAGCAGUCGCGGUAAUACGUAGAAGACUAGUGUUAUUCAUGUUUAAUCGGUUUAAAGGGUACCUAGACGGUAAAUCAAGCCUAAAAGGAAAUAAAUGAAGGGACUAAUUUACUAGAGUUACUUCUGAGGGGGUAUUAAAGUACUGCUGGUGUAGAGAUGAAAUUCUGUCAUACCUCUUUUCAAUAGAAAAAUAAUGGCACAGGUAUAGGCGAAAGCAUCCCCUUAUGUGAUAACUGACGUUGAGGGACGAAGGCUUUGUGUAGCGAACAGGAUUAGAUACCCCAGUAGUCAAAGCAGAAAAUGAUGAAUGUCAUAGAUUAGAUAUAUAAGUUUAUUCUAUAAAUGAAAGUGUAAGCAUUCCACCUCAAGAGUAAUUUGGCAACAUUGGAACUGAAAUCAUUAGACCGUUUCUGAAACCAGUAGUGAAGUAUGUUGUUUAAUUUGAUGAUCCGCAAAAAACCUUACCACAAUUUGAAUAUUUAUAUCUUUUAUUGUUUUUCUUUUUAACUUUCUUCUGAUUUUCUACUUAAAAGAAAACAAUAACAAGAAAAAAGAGGCAAUAAGAUAUAUUUACAAGCGUUGCACGGCUGUCUUCAGUUAAUGUCGCGAGACUCUGGUUAGUUCCAUUAAAUUAACGUAAACCCUUACUUUAUUUUUAUAUAGAGUAGUUCCCCGCUAUAUUGGAUAUGAUAACAGGGACUAAGACAAGUCAUCAUGGCCUAAAUAUUGUGGGCUAUAGA